UUUGGUCCAGCUGUGGGCUGGUUUUGGCUGUGUACUUUGUUUGCCAGAGUGGUUCUGGUUAAGCUCUGGUUUCUGGUUUUUGGAAUAUUCAACAUGUGUUUUUUUUUCUCUGGAAGCAUUGCUUUCUAACCUGGUGUCAGAUUGUUGUGUGCUGUUCAGAAGCUGGGAGAAAGCUGACCGUUUGAACAGGUACACAUGUUGGGUCUGGAGCAGAAGCCAUCGCCACAUGAAUUCCUGCAAAUUGCUGAAGAGAGGGAGAGGAGUGGAGAGGAGAGGAGAGAAGAGGAGAGGGAAUUCAAUUGAGUCUUCCAGCCUGGACAGCAAUAUGAAUGGAAGCGAGAGCCACACACAUUGGGCCUGACGAAGACAAAGAGAAGAAUAAACAAACUCACUACUCACCCAGACCUCCCAAACAUAUUUUAAGUAAAAUCCCUAAAACAAAUACACAGAGUUAUGAGUUA